AGCGGCCGCGGUAAUUCCAGCUCCAGUAGCGUAUAUUAAAGUUGUUGCAGUUAAAAAGCUCGUAGUUGAAUUUCGAGACCGGUUUAUUGGUCGUGCUUUUGUACGUACUAGUAUUAUUGGUUUCUCCUUUCUGACGAAUCAUAAUGCCAUUAAUUUAGUGUUUUGGGGAAUCAGGACUGUUACUUUGAAAAAAUUAGAGUGUUUAAAGCAGGCUCACGCUUGAAUACAUUAGCAUGGAAUAACGAAAUAGGACGUUUGGUUUUAUUUUGUUGGUUUCUAGGAUCGACGUAAUGAUUAAUAGGGAUAGUUGGGGGCAUUAGUAUUCAAUUGUCAGAGGUGAAAUUCUUGGAUUUAUUGAAGACUAACUACUGCGAAAGCAUUUGCCAAGGAUGUUUUCAUUAAUCAAGAACGAAAGUUAGGGGAUCGAAGACGAUCAGAUACCGUCGUAGUCUUAACCAUAAACUAUGCCGACUAGGGAUCGGAUGAUGUUAAUUUUUAAUGACUCAUUCGGCGCCUUACG
rnacentral:rRNA from 1 species